UGAUUUUUUCUCAGUGACUAACUUUGCCAGCACAGGUCACAUAUGCUACUUAAUUUCCACUUGAGAGUGGUCAGAUUUAAAGUCUGAGAUUAGUCCAUCAGUUCUUGAAUUUCAAUUUUUGUUUAUGUGUGUGCGUGUGUGUGUGUGUGUGUGCGUGCGUGUGUAUGUGUGUGUUCAAAACAAGAGUGUCUGUCUCAGAAGCUGAAGAAAAAAGGUCACACCUUAUAGGAAAUAAACGCCUCCUAAGUGUAUGGAAAUACCUGGCUGAGGAGAUCAGUGACAUAAACCAGAUAAAACUGUCAGUGGUCUGAGACAGCUACAAGCCACAAAAACAGUUCAUAGUUCCUGCAUUUCUAUAAUGCAUUAAUGAAUAACAAUAAUUAAAAUAAAAUGUAAUGUCAAGGUUUUGUGUUAAUUCCAGCUAUGUUGAGUAUUCUGUGAAUAAUUUUGAUUUUAGGUGCAUAUUCUUAAUUCUUUGCAAAACAACCUGAACUGUUUGCUAUUGAAAGGUUGGUAUGAAGUUUAAAUAAAUAAAAACAUUAUAUUCUUGACAAAAC